AAUCUUAUAUGGACAUAUGAGGGGGAAACGAGUAAGAAUCUAGUGAAUGAUGAAAACAGAACAGGGACUACAAAAGAAAUCGGUGGAACGGCCACAAUUUUCUGAACAUUCAAGAGGAAAAAGGCCACAUUCAUCAGGAUGACUUGUGCCUGAAAGGAACAUGUCAGACCCCGAGCUCCCCGCAGGCUGCGCUGCCUGAAGAGGACUUUAUUGCUGUGUUACGAGAGAUUUGUGGACUCUGUGAUGGAAAACGAAGGACUUUCUUUUCUUUUGGUUGUGGUGGUGGUGGUGAUGGAGUCUAGUAUAAAGUUUUGGUUUGUACAUCUUGGCAUUUUAUAUUUUGAUUAGAAAUUUACCAUAUCAAAAGUAAAAAUAUUAUGU